rnacentral:rRNA from 1 species
GAUGAACGCUGGCGGCGUGCCUAAUACAUGCAAGUCGAGCGAACGGACGAGAAGCUUGCUUCUCUGACGUUAGCGGCGGACGGGUGAGUAACACGUGGAUAACCUACCUAUAAGACUGGGAUAACUUCGGGAAACCGUAGCUAAUACCGGAUAAUAUUUUGAACCGCAUGGUUCAACAGUGAAAGACGGUCUUGCUGUCACUUAUAGAUGGAUCCGCGCUGCAUUAGCUAGUUGGUAAGGUAACGGCUUACCAAGGCAACGAUGCAUAGCCGACCUGAGAGGGUGAUCGGCCACACUGGAACUGAGACACGGUCCAGACUCCUACGGGAGGCAGCAGUAGGGAAUCUUCCGCAAUGGGCGAAAGCCUGACGGAGCAACGCCGCGUGAGUGAUGAAGGUCUUCGGAUCGUAAAACUCUGUUAUUAGGGAAGAACAAAUGUGUAAGUAACUGUGCACAUCUUGACGGUACCUAAUCAGAAAGCCACGGCUAACUACGUG